GUCAAGCUCAAGUAGCAGGAUAUUUGGCUCGAAAGUUCGCGAACCUACUCAAAUUUAUAUAUAUUUUUAAUAAUAUUAUUUUUAUAUAUAAUAUAUAUUAAUAUAUAUAUUAAUAGGCUAAUGUUUGAUUUCGAACUCGAACUUAAGCUCGAGUAUGACUCGAUUGAUAUUUAAUUUAAAGCGAGUCAAUCUCGAAUUUUAUCUAUUUUUUAUCGAGUCGAGCUCGAGCUUAGAAUAUUAAGGCUCG
rnacentral:lncRNA from 1 species